AUUGAACGCUGGCGGCAUGCUUUACACAUGCAAGUCGAACGGUAACAGGCCGCAAGGUGCUGACGAGUGGCGAACGGGUGAGUAAUGCAUCGGAACGUGCCCAGUCGUGGGGGAUAACGCAGCGAAAGCUGUGCUAAUACCGCAUACGAUCUAUGGAUGAAAGCGGGGGACCGUAAGGCCUCGCGCGAUUGGAGCGGCCGAUGUCAGAUUAGCUAGUUGGUGGGGUAAAGGCCCACCAAGGCGACGAUCUGUAGCUGGUCUGAGAGGACGACCAGCCACACGGGGACUGAGACACGGCCCAGACUCCUACGGGAGGCAGCAGUGGGGAAUUUUGGACAGUGGGCGCAAGCCUGAUCCAGCAAUGCCGCGUGCAGGAAGAAGGCCUUCGGGUUGUAAACUGCUUUUGUACGGAACGAAACGGUCUGGGUUAAUACCCUGGGCUAAUGACGGUACCGUAAGAAUAAGCACCGGCUAACUACGUGCCAGCCGCCGCCGUAAAAC
rnacentral:rRNA from 1 species